rnacentral:rRNA from 1 species
AUGAACGCUGGCGGCGUGCCUAAUACAUGCAAGUCGCGCGAACAGACGAGGAGCUUGCUCCUCUGACGUUAGCGGCGGACGGGUGAGUAACACGUGGAUAACCUACCUAUAAGACUGGGAUAACUUCGGGAAACCGGAGCUAAUACCGGAUAACAUGUUGAACCGCAUGGUUCAACAGUGAAAGACGGUCUUGCUGUCACUUAUAGAUGGAUCCGCGCCGCAUUAGCUAGUUGGUAAGGUAACGGCUUACCAAGGCAACGAUGCGUAGCCGACCUGAGAGGGUGAUCGGCCACACUGGAACUGAGACACGGUCCAGACUCCUACGGGAGGCAGCAGUAGGGAAUCUUCCGCAAUGGGCGAAAUCCUGACGGAGCAACGCCGCGUGAGUGAAGAAGGUCUUCGGAUCGUAAAACUCUGUUAUUAGGGAAGAACAAUUGUGUAAGUAACUAUGCACGUCUUGACGGUACCUAAUCAGAAAGCCACGGCUAACUACGUG